AGGACCUGGGCAGUGUGAGUGCCACUGAAAAUCAGCUCUUUGAAACAUGUGCCAUAGGUUGCCUACCCCGAUUUAACGUUUCCUCCCUUGCCAGCAACCUACAAUUGUACAAGGAGCUCUCCGGAUAGCUGUCUCAAGCAUCCAACCCAACAUGGAAUUGUUCUUCUCUAAAAAACAGGCGCACCCAUCACACAAGUAACAGCACGCCAGUAAGCAAUAUUUCACUAAAAAAUUUACAUUACUAUAUACUUAAAUGACUGUUUGAAUAAAUGCCUGUUUUUAAUAUUUA